rnacentral:lncRNA from 1 species
CUCACUUGGCAUGGUCAUUAUGAGGAGAGAAGGGGGAGGUUCAAGAGAUGAGAGAGAAGGGGGAGGUUCAAGAGAUGAGAGAGAAGGGGGAGGUUCAAGAGAUGAGAGAGAAGGGGGAGUUUCAAGAGAUGAGAGAGAAGGGGGAGGUUCAAGAGAUGAGAGAGGAGUUUCAUCUCCAUGACACCUCGCAGGUAGUUUCAUCUCCAUGACACCUCGCAGGUAACUGUGAGAAUGUGCACUGAGACUGGCCUAAAGACUUCUCCAAACCCUAAUACACCCUACAAAAAGAACUGAAGGGAGUAGUUGGGUAAGAAGCUAUUAUAGGCAUUCGCACCAGAUGCAUUAUUUGCAUAACCUGAGCAGAAUUUUUUUAUUAUGAUAAAUUUCUGGUUGUUCAAUCAAAGUGACCAGACUCUUUAUCCUCUUACAAUGAUCUUAAAAACAAUAAAAAAGCAUUUCAGAAUUU